AGGACGAACGCUGGCGGUGUGCUUCACACAUGCAAGUCGAACGAGGUAGCAAUACCUAGUGGCGGACGGGUGAGUAACGCGUGGGAAUCUGCCUUUAGAUGGGGGAUAACGGUUCGAAAGAGUCGCUAAUACCGCAUAUGACGAAAGUUGAAAGGAGUAAUCCGUCUGAAGAUGAGCCCGCGUCCGAUUAGCUAGUUGGCGGGGUAAUGGCCCACCAAGGCUUCGAUCGGUAGCC
rnacentral:rRNA from 1 species